CUUCAACGACGAUAGCGAUACCACACCUAGCAACAACCGGAGGCGGCGACGGUGGUCGUUGAGGAGUACGAGAUCGGGAAGAGAGAGAAGCCGCGAGUGCUUCCUCCAUCUGUAACCGGAACGCAAACUCGGAAUCGGAAUCGUGAGGCAAGAAAUUCAUGUUUUUGGUCUCACGGCAGCGAUAAAAUCAAUAGUUACUCCGUUGGGGUGAGUGAGUGACGACGACGAAUGGGUUUGUUUGCUUUACGAUGAUCGUCCCUUUUAGAGAGAGACCCCUUCGCAUGUCGCAUCACACGUGUGUGGAGAAAAGGGUAAAAACGUAACUUGCCAAUGGCUUACAUGAGACGCUUCUUACUUUCCUUUUU
rnacentral:lncRNA from 1 species